GAUGAAGAACGUAGCGAAAUGCGAUACGUAAUGUGAAUUGCAAAUUCAGUGAAUCAUCGAGUCUUUGAACGCACAUUGCGCCCCCUGGUAUUCCGGAGGGCAUGCCUGUCUGAGCGUCAUUGUCAACCCUCAAGCUCGGCUUGCUGUUGGGUCCCCGUCGUUGCCUUAACGGCGGACCCGAAAGAUAAUGGCAGAGUCCGUAAGACCCUGGAUGCAGCGAGCUUCUAGCACGCGUCUGGACGGUUUACGGGCUUGGUCUUAACCAGAUGAUAACCUCUGAUUGACCUCAGAUCAGGUAGGGAUACCCGCUGAACUUAAGCAUAUCAAUAAGCGGAGGA
rnacentral:misc_RNA from 1 species